AGAGAGGAGUAAAAAAAUAUAACGUCAUCAAAGUAGGUUAUUGCUGGUCUAUGUAGGUGUACAGGUCAGCUAAAUAGGUGUGAAUUAUCCUUAAAAGUGUCAAAAUAGCACUAAAAUUUUGACUCGGGUUCAUACACGAAAUUAUUAAUUACUUGAAAAGACACGCCAUCCUCAGUUUACCUGGAAAUACUUUACAAGCGUAGCAUCAAUAACCUUUCAAUUAAUUCGGCCUCACACUCGCAUUUUUCAUUUUCGUAUUAUUUUACUCCGCGGAGAGAUAUGUUGUUAUGGAAAAAAUUUACGUCGCGUCGUUUCAUCGAAGGCUUAAUAAGCGCUUAAUAAGCGCGCGGUAUUCGCGGAUUAAAAUCGCGCCUCGCGCUUUCGAACGGGAGGAGUCGUUCGCAACAAUUGGCAGGUCACGCACACUCGUUUCGUCGACUCGAAUGCCGAAGGCAUUCGAAUUGCCUUCCUGUCAUUACGCGCGGUGCCUGACAAGGUCUGACAAAUCGCAUCGUCUGACACAUCGCGCAAAUGUGACCGAGCAGCCAGAUGCCGGACGACACGAGUUUCCAUGCAAAAAUGAAGUGUGAAUCUACAGUUUGUAAGGUCGACUUUAGACAGGCAAUCGUAUUUGUAGUUAGCAUUAAGUUAAUACUAGCUAAAUUAAAUAAAUUUUUAGGAAAUGCACUACACCCCGUAUAUAAUUCACGAGUAAAAUGGAAUACGUCAACUGGAAACGCAAAUUAAAUGAAAAUUAUUACAUACAAAAAUGUUCCCUUUUUUUCGAGCCGAGAGCAAGUUUGUUGGUUAAACGUUUUCACACGACAUGUUACAGCAGGAAGGCUUCAUAAAUUAUAGACUUGCCCCAUUUUCACAUAGAAACUUCGUAUUUCGUUCUCAUCUUUCUCUUACACUCUCCUUCAACAAAAUUUAUUGUUUUCUUUUCAACGUCAUACUAGCUUUAUUACCGAAUAAAAAUAGUCAGGUGGCACCUGAUAUUAUAUUUGUCGUACGACAACUUUUGCAAGCGUGUCGAUUAGCUGUAGAAUAGAAAUGUUCUCGAGUUUUUAGAAAUUUUCUAUCCUGCAGCCAGUCAACACGCUUGAAAAAUUUGUCGCACGACAAAUGUAAUAUCAGCCUUAAUCGUGCGUGUGACGAAAGUUCUUCCUGCACUGUUCCAAUAAAACUAUUACGAAAAAUAGACAUCUUGUACAGAUUACACUUAUACGCGCAUAUAAUAUACAAUAUACGGAUUGCCUACGAUAGAAUGAAAACGGGAGGGGCCAUUUCGUACAUAAAUAUAUUCCGCAAAUAUACUUUUCGUAAAUGUAAUCCUUGCUUCCCGCGGGAAUGGCCAAGAUACUGCACUGCUGUGACAAAAAUAACGAAAACGUCGUACAUGGCGAUGCAACGCAUCCGCGCGUGUGUGCUUUGCGCUCGGAUCGGUCACGGACAUUUAAUCGUCCUAUCCGUACGUUAUGUGGGAGUGAGAAGCAGAAGUGAUGUAAGCCAAGAUUCUCAUAAUCGCGUGAAAGAGGAAAUCUCGAUCGAUUUGAAUAGCUGUUUACGCGUGGCGCCGACUUCCGCUGACGCGACGAGGAUGUUCACUUUGAAGGCUCAACGUUUUGCAAAAUCCCCCGACAAAAACCCCGCGAUUUCAUAUCCGCGGACGGAUCGUGAGAUCUUUCGAUGCGCACGUUAUUGUUCAAUUCUUCCAAUCACGCCAAUUGCGAAACGUUAAUGGAUACGUGCGUAACGCGUAUCGCCAGCAAAUAUUUGAAAUACGAGGAUCGACGAGGCAAACGAUGGUUAUCGAUCAAGCUGUACCAGCUGGGUCUUAUCAAUUAUCAUGCCGCGCGAGCUUAGCCUCGUUCGUCAACGGUUUUAACAGCGAGUAACGAGUUGCGCUCCGCGAAUUAAUGCCGCGUAACUAACAAUAGAAAACGCGCAUCUCUCCCGCGGCGCCCGCGGCUGCGUUCUAUGCAACGAAUUACAUAAUGAGGAACGAAUGGCACUCCGCCACGUGAUACGCGACAUAUUUGCGAUCACGAUGGCGCUUUGUCAGGAGCCGCCCACCGAGCACGAAUUAUUUAUAAAGAGGACCAAGGAAGGAGAGCUCGUUUUCGCCAAGUGGGGAAAUUUUUGCCUGCAAACGCGAGAGCGGGUGCGCGUUUGUAAAUGUGACGUUGCACAAUUUCGCGAUAAGGUGCCGUGGCGUGUGAUAGUUAUAUUUGUGAGAUGAAGCGCGUACAUACUGUUUGACACCUUCUUACUGAUAAAGGCUCGAAUAAAUUUUUCCACGGCGCUACGAGAGUUCGGUCCUCUCGCCCAUCCGGGAGAGACGGCGUUUCCCAGUGCGGUCGCGAGCCACGCCACAAUCAACGAGCAAAUCAGCGAGCGUAUGCGUUUAAAAUGAAAUGUCGUUGGCCACGAGUUACGGGUCGGAUCGAUAAUUUAUGGGUUCUAACUCAUCUGCCUGUUCGGUAACGUAAUUAACGUGCAAAGCGCGACGCGCGUCGCCUAAGUGGACGGGCUGCCUCGCGCGACGAAUGAGAGUCUCUCGAGACUUGUUAUCGGCGAUUAAACCGAUAAAAAAGCAAGCGGUAACAAUCAGGACGCGGGAAAAGAGACGGAAGCGUUCGUAGCCAAGAGGAUCCAGUCGGCGAAACAGUGAAAACGGAGGAAUCUUACAAUUUCCGGGUUCGAGACGAAAAAGCAAAUGCUUCAACGUGUCGCGGCUGUUACGACGUUGCUUUUAAAAGAGCUGAGAAAUCGGAAGUUGGCGCUUUGCAAAGGCACGAGUAGCGUCGCCGCGCGAAACGGGUAGCGUUAUCAGAUAUCCGCGGCUAUAUCUUUAUGUUGUUCAAACAUUACUCGUAACACACAACGUAGUAAUAUUGUGAUUGUUCGGCGCUCCCCACGCGAGACUGCGUCAAUUUUAGCCGCGCCGACAGGCUAUAGUAGUGCCAAGGUCGUGCCGUUGGCUUUUCUCUCGGCUCGCCAUCGCCACGCUAUUUCGAGGGUUUUCUUAAAUUCGUCGCACGAUACACCGACUAUCGCCACCGCGAAACACCGAAAUAUCGGCUCCCGAGAUUUCAGCCGACGCGAAAUCACUCCGCGCGGGUCCACCCGGCGAAGAUUGAUGUCACUUCCCAAUUCGUUUUGCACGUUGUCCCCGCGCGCAUUCGGAAAGAGCGGCGGCAAUAUUUUCGCCAAUAAAGAGCGACGCGUAAUUAUUAUUAAUUACGGGAGUUUAAUGUUAUUUGCGAUUUAACAUUAAUAUUGAAUAUCGCGCACGUUAAUAAAGCUGAAUAUUAUGUUAAUUGAAUUAGAGCAGCGUGAUAAAUCACCGUGGGAAAAUACACAGAAUGUUGAACACA